rnacentral:rRNA from 1 species
UACGUAGGGGGCAAGCGUUGUCCGGAUUUAUUGGGCGUAAAGAGCGUGUAGGCGGUUUGGUAGGUCCGUUGUGAAAACUCGAGGCUCAACCUCGAGACGCCGAUGGAAACCAUCAGACUAGAGUCCGGAAGAGGAGAGUGGAAUUCCUGGUGUAGCGGUGAAAUGCGCAGAUAUCAGGAAGAACACCCGUGGCUAAGGCGGCUCUCUGGGCCUGUACUGACGCUGAGGAGCGAAAGCGUGGGGAGCGAACAGG